GUGGGGAAUAUUGGACAAUGGGCGAAAGCCUGAUCCAGCCAUGCCGCGUGUGUGAAGAAGGUCUUCGGAUUGUAAAGCACUUUAAGUUGGGAGGAAGGGCAGUAAGUUAAUACCUUGCUGUUUUGACGUUACCGACAGAAUAAGCACCGGCUAACUUCGUGCCAGCAGCCGCGGUAAUACGAAGGGUGCAAGCGUUAAUCGGAAUUACUGGGCGUAAAGCGCGCGUAGGUGGUUUUGUAAGUUGGAGGUGAAAUCCCCGGGCUCAACCUGGGAACUGCCUCCAAAACUACUGGGCUAGAGUACGGUAGAGGGUAGUGGAAUUUCCUGUGUAGCGGUGAAAUGCGUAGAUAUAGGAAGGAACACCAGUGGCGAAGGCGACUACCUGGACUGAUACUGACACUGAGGUGCGAAAGCGUGGGGAGCAAACAGGAUUAGAUACCCGUGUAGUCC
rnacentral:rRNA from 1 species